rnacentral:lncRNA from 1 species
UUUUUGUCAAAAAUGAAAGUGGCCGCAUCCGUGUUCAUCCUCAACCUUUAUAUAUGUAAUGUAUUAUCAUCAAAUACAACUUACAUUUCAAUAUUAUGAAUGAACACGAAUGCAGCCACUUUCAUUUAAGACGGAAACCAUCUAAAAUUUAACUAAAAUGCUCAAAUUGUGAAGAGUUCAGUAAUUUAGCAUGAUUUUAUGAUGCCAGUACCCGAUAUAUGUACAUUGUUUUGUCAAAAACAGCCUAUAUUUAUGCAGCAAAAGUAUUCUACUUUCCAAUAAAUAACUAAAAGAUUAUAAUUUCACAAUUUUGUAAAAUUGCUAUAUUUUGGGGCCAAAAAGGGGUCUUACUGAACCUACUCCUUUAAACUUCUAAUUUACAUUCUGCAGAGGAUAUGCGUAAAGAAAUAUUGACUAUAUUGUUUUCAUAAUUUGAACGACAUUCAAUAAUUCUUCUUGUGUAAGGUAUUCUGACGACAUAUGCGCGAUUAAACGUCAGAGCGAUGUUUAUCGUGCUUAAACCUUUCAAUUGUUUAUGGGUAGAUUUAACAUACAUAAAUAAAAUUCAAAACAAAUAAAGCUAUGAAUGAGGUUGUUACAUUUGAUAUAUGCCUUUUUGUGCUUCUUUGUUAAGUAUUUGUUUGUUUUUAUGGAUAUUAAGAUACUUGUACUUGUACAUUCUGUCAUUAUUGUUUAUGAUAUUCUCGUAUUAUUGUCUUUCGUUAUGCUAAAUUAAAUGUGCUUUGUCUGUAUGCCUUUUGGUGUUAAAUCGAAAACUUUUUUGUUGCUCGUCUUUCAUUUUUGCCAUGUGUUUUGUCUUUAUGCCUUUUUAUGUUUCUUCGUUACACAUAUGACGUACUUAUACAUCCCAUCAUUGUGUUAUUGUACUAUGGUAAAUUUGUGUAUUCUUGUCUUUAAUUUUUACUAAUAUGCAUGGUCUGUAUGCCAUUUUGUGCUUCUUUUUUAAAUGUUACUAUGUAUUUUUGUGAUUAGAUUUACCUAUAAUUUCUGUUUGUUUUGUUCACGAAUUGUUGUCCACACAAGUGAGAGGUUUAGCUGGCUAUAAAACCAGUGUCAAUCCAACAUCUACAUAAGAAAGUGCCUGUACUAAGUCAGGAAUAUGACAUUUGUUAUCCAUUCGUUUAAUGUGUUUUAUUUUGCCAUUUGAAUAGGAUCUUUCUGUUUUGAAUUUUCCACGGAGUUCAGUAUUUUUGUGAUUUUACUUUUUGCUGCCCCUGAAUAAGUAAUUUUAAGAACAAUUUGCAGUUUUUAUACGACCGCA